CCUANGGGUGGCAGCAGUCGAGAAUUUUUCUCAAUGGGGGAAACCCUGAAGGAGCGACGCCGCGUGGGGGAUGAAUGGCUUCGGCCCGUAAACCCCUGUCAUUUGCGAUCAAACCUUACGACCUAACACGUCGUAAGCUGAUAGUAGCGAAAGAGGAAGGGACGGCUAACUCUGUGCCAGCAGCCGCGGUAAUACAGAGGUCCCAAGCGUUGUUCGGAUUCACUGGGCGUAAAGGGUGCGUAGGCGGUCGGGUAAGUCUAACGUGAAAUCUCCGAGCCUAACUCGGAAACUGCGUCGGAUACUAUUCGGCUAGAGGAAUGGAGGGGAGACUGGAAUUCUCGGUGUAGCAGUGAAAUGCGUAGAUAUCGAGAGGAACACCAGUGGCGAAGGCGAGUCUCUGGACAUUUCCUGACGCUGAGGCACGAAAGCCAGGGGAGCAAACGGGAUUAGAUACCCUGNUANUC
rnacentral:rRNA from 1 species